UACGUAGGUGGCGAGCGUUAUCCGGAUUUACUGGGUGUAAAGGGAGCGUAGGCGGCUUAGUAAGUCAGAAGUGAAAGCCCGGGGCUCAACUCCGGGACUGCUUUUGAAACUGUUGAACUAGAUUGCAGGAGAGGUAAGUGGAAUUCCUAGUGUAGCGGUGAAAUGCGUAGAUAUUAGGAGGAACACCAGUGGCGAAGGCGGCUUACUGGACGAUGACUGACGCUGAGGCUCGAAAGCGUGGGGAGCAAACAGG
rnacentral:rRNA from 1 species